CUCACUUUAAAGGUACUCACCUCUUUCUUUUGUCUUUGGAAGGAGUUGAAGUGUUUACUUUGCUAAAGAUAUUUUCAUCUCCCACAAGAACAGAAUACAAAAGGUUUUUGGCACAGUGUCAAUGGGAUCAGAGGGAGACUGAACUGGAAAAUAACAGAAAGCAGGGACUAUGGAGAGGAGUGGAGUCCAUUGUUUUUCUGCUUGCUGGAGAGGUUAAGGACAGGUUGCAGCUUAGAUUUUCCCUCAUGGAUUUGUAUGUGCAAUGUAAUACCAGCUUUUCAAAUUGACAAAUGGGUUUUCUACACACUUGCAUUCAAUCUCAACAAAGUACUGGGAAAGGAUUUGAUAAGAAGUAAGAACAGACUUUUCUCAAGACAAUGCAGCUAUAAACAAGAGUCAGGAAAACAGAUUAAUUUAGUGGUCAGAUAAUCUUUGAAAAUCCUUGGAUUGACUAUGGUAUAUAUCUGACUAUGUACUGGCAUUUGAAAAAGAAAAUGGAAAAUUAGAUUUUGGCUACAGUACUUGUUUCCUUCUGUUUUUCUUGUAGUCUAAACACGCAAAUCCAUACAGUGUAGUGGAAAUUUAGCAGUCAUAUUAUGUAGCUAUUAACACCAGAAAACUUUCUAUGACCAUGGUACAGCAUAAAAAAAUAAUCAAAAUCUACCAACACUUCCUCACGGUGGAUCAUAUAUUCUAAAUGUAGCUGGUUCUCUGAUGCCGUGCCUUGAAGCUGUGAAUAAACCCUGAUACUUAAAGACA
rnacentral:lncRNA from 1 species